rnacentral:lncRNA from 1 species
UUUGUCAGAAAUUAUUUUGAACCUCGGUGGGUAAUAGAACGCUUGAGAAUUGUGAGCCUUGAGAAAUUUGGUGGAUUGUGAUCUUUGGUGGUGGAGAUGGUGAAGUAAGUAGUGAAGAAAUGAAGCCCAAAGAAUUUUAAAUAAAAAGUUGUUCAUCUAGCAUUACUUUAAUAUUUAACAUUUAUACUGUCGACUUGUUUAAAGGUUAUACCCUAGUACCGCGUCUUAAUAUGAAAUUAGUUGUUGAGAAAUCUUGUCUCCUAUAGCGAAAAGAUAUCUAACCAAUACUUUGCGGUGGUGGUAAAACUAAGGGUGGGCAAAAAACCCGAGCUGGCAAAAAAACCAGACCGGACCGGCCGGCCCGAUCGAGCCGGGCCGGGUUUUUUGACGGUCCCUUGUUCAGUUGGUGUCCAUUCGGGCCGGGCCCAGAUGUACCCGGGCCGGUCCCGGUCCCUAUAUUUGCUUGCAAUUUUAGGCUCGAAAGCCCGGUGUCCAUAUAUGUCAUUCAGCGAUUGGUUAAUUUUGGCAAGCUUAUACUAGUAGCAUAGGUCCAACCACAUAGGAUUAGUCAAGCCCUAAGUCAGUAAGUCCAACUAAUCGGUCUAAUCCCUCUUCCUCAGUUCCUCACUUCCUCUGUUCCUCAGUUCCUCUCUAAUCGACAAAUCCCUUCUGCUUGUNNNNNNNNNNNNNNNNNNNNUCUCUUCCUCUCCGGCCUCCGCGAGUCUCUUCCUCUCCGGCGUCCGCGCGUCUCUUCCUCUCCUGCGUCCGCGCAUCUCUCGUUCUCCGCCUCAGUCGCCCCGGUAAGCCUUCGCUUCCAUCUCUCUUCUCUCAUUCCCUCUCUUCCUCUUGAAUCUCUAACUCUAUCUCAAUCGAUUAUGAAUUUGUGAUUUUGGACUUUGAUUGUGGAGUUGUGGUUGUGUUAAACUGUUAAUGACUGUGGAGUUGUGGUUGAGUUAAUGAUUGUGGUCUGUGGAGUUGUGGUUGUGUUAAUGAUUGUGAUUUAAUAAUACUGUUUAAGUGCUGGUUGUGUACGUGUGUACUUGUGUUUAUGCUAGGUUUGAUUGUUUAAGAUGUCGUCGUCUUCUUCUUCACAAUACGGCUGUUAUUCAGUCAGUAGUGAUAGUGACACCGGGUGAUUGUUUUUAUUUAUGUUACCAAUCUGCAUUUGAAACUUUUAAUUUGCUAUGGAACCAUUGGAACAUUGAAAUGUUGUUUAGUAGUUUAGUUUAUGUUUGUGACUUGUGAGUUGUGACUGGGAGUUUAUGACAGUUGGUUUGCAUAGUUGCCUAUUUUCAAACUUUGACAGUUUGACAUGUUGCAGAUUUCAUACUUUUUGAUCUCUUAUGUUCAAGGCCGGUGUACAUGGCUUUUUGAGAUGCCUUCAUUGUUAUGAGUAGUUGUUGUUUAUGGCUAUAUAGGUUUGGAAUUUGUAUUUUUAAACUUGCUGUUAUGACUUAUGAGUUAUGAACUUAUGAUAGAUUGAUGGAAUGAUGGAAUGAUGGAUUGAUGGUUGCACUGCCAUUUCAUUUACAAGUUCAUUUUUUGCAAUUGUGAGAGAUGAGAAUGCAGUUUAUGCACUUUUGCAGCUAAUGUUGAUAUGAAAAGCUGAUUGACUGUAAAGUCUGUAAUGCAUUAAGCAUUUGUACAGAUUUUGAAAUUUUGUGUUUUGACAGAAUUUGGGCCCGAAAACCGGAAGGCCCGGCCCGGCCCGACCCGGUUCGGGCUUUUACCGGUCCCUUGUUUUAUAAGAGAAAAGCCCGGCCCGGAUGUACAGUAACCAGUCCGGGCCCGGGCCCUAUAAAUGCUAUGCCGGUUUGGGCCCGAGCCCAGCCCUAGGUAAAACCGGGGUUCCGAUCCGACAUAUAUGUCAUCGAUCGGACGUGUACGAUGACAUUGCUUAUGCUCUACUACGGCCUCCGGAUAGUUCAUUACUACAUGCAUGGGAGACCAAUGAACCUUUCUUUCUCCUCCGAUGUUUGUCUAGUGCUAGGUUUUGCCAAACCCGAGGCUUAUCCAGGGCAAAAACGAAUUGAUUAGUUCUCAUAAGGUGUUGCUUUGUUUGUUUAUACAGAUCUGAAAAGCUGAAUAUUAAUCUUGCGCGCUCAACAUAUAUAAGCCAAUUAUAAAAUGAUCAAGCUUUCAUCAGACAAACAGAAAAUUUAUCUAAGCCUGGCAUGAUAGAUCUAGAAUAUUAUAAACACAGAAUUAACUGCAGUUUGUUUUGUUGCAUGAUCGAUAGAUAGAGCCAUAGAGGAUAGAGCUAGGCACAUGUAAAUCAAAACCAGUCUCAUCUUUCUUUUCUUUCUCUCGGGUGGAUCCAAAUAUCCCAUUAGAUAUUCUCCUCUACGAUUGUUUAAUUCUUUGGUGACCACAGAAACCAUUUAUAGUGGAGGGCGUGGGAACGUGAUUCAGGUCAGAACAUCUCACACCAAAAAUCUGGAAAAAUUUAACUUGUAAUUUAUGUUUCGUAGUGAC